AAUUUUUGUAUGAUUUUCAGUUCUUAAAAAUUAUACAAGGAAAUGUGUGUUGAAAAUUAAAACAGAUAUUUUUUUUAUUUUUUGAAGGAUGAGAGGAGGCCAAAAAAAAAUGCCACUCUGGUUACCAAAGAUUCUGGGUAUGCCUAUGGAUAUAACACAUUUUUCUAAUAAAAGAUAUUGUGUUUUUUUGAUACAGCUUGAUCAACAAAUUCCACAUAAAUGUAACAGAAGUUAUCUGACUGUUGACACAGCCACAGCUAACUGUGCAGGAAUACCUCACUUAGUGUGGCUUCACUCAGUGCUGACCCCACUAUAGUAUGGUUAAUAAUUUGAGGAAUAAAUUUCAAUUAGUAC
rnacentral:lncRNA from 1 species